CCUACGGGAGGCAGCAGUGAGGAAUAUUGGUCAAUGGACGAGAGUCUGAACCAGCCAAGUAGCGUGAAGGAUGACUGCCCUAUGGGUUGUAAACUUCUUUUAUAUGGGAAUAAAACGUUCCACGUGUGGGAUUUUGUAUGUACCAUAUGAAUAAGGAUCGGCUAACUCCGUGCCAGCAGCCGCGGUAAUACGGAGGAUCCGAGCGUUAUCCGGAUUUAUUGGGUUUAAAGGGAGCGUAGGUGGAUUGUUAAGUCAGUUGUGAAAGUUUGCGGCUCAACCGUAAAAUUGCAGUUGAAACUGGCAGUCUUGAGUACAGUAGAGGUGUGCGGAAUUCGUGGUGUAGCGGUGAAAUGCUUAGAUACCGCGAAGAACUCCGAUUGCGAAGGCAGUUCACUGGACUGCAACUGACACUGAGGCUCGAAAGUGUGGGUAUCAAACAGGAUUAGAUACCCCAGUAGUC
rnacentral:rRNA from 1 species